rnacentral:rRNA from 1 species
UGGGGGACAACGUUUCGAAAGGAACGCUAAUACCGCAUACGUCCUACGGGAGAAAGCAGGGGACCUUCGGGCCUUGCGCUAUCAGAUGAGCCUAGGUCGGAUUAGCUAGUUGGUGAGGUAAUGGCUCACCAAGGCGACGAUCCGUAACUGGUCUGAGAGGAUGAUCAGUCACACUGGAACUGAGACACGGUCCAGACUCCUACGGGAGGCAGCAGUGGGGAAUAUUGGACAAUGGGCGAAAGCCUGAUCCAGCCAUGCCGCGUGUGUGAAGAAGGUCUUCGGAUUGUAAAGCACUUUAAGUUGGGAGGAAGGGCAUUAACCUAAUACGUUAGUGUUUUUGACGUUACCGACAGAAUAAGCACCGGCUAACUCUGUGCCAGCAGCCGCGGUAAUACAGAGGGUGCAAGCGUUAAUCGGAAUUACUGGGCGUAAAGCGCGCGUAGGUGGUUUGUUAAGUUGGAUGUGAAAGCCCCGGGCUCAACCUGGGAACUGCAUUCAAAACUGACAAGCUAGAGUAUGGUAGAGGGUGGUGGAAUUUCCUGUGUAGCGGUGAAAUGCGUA